rnacentral:misc_RNA from 1 species
GCAAAAGUUUGCUCAUAGCCAUCAGGUUGAAAAAUUGGAUCCCAUCCAAAAUCCUUGGGUCCCUUUGGAGGAACUAUUUUUCCCAUAGUUUUCUCAAGAAAUGUCAGAGGCUCUGAUUCCGCAUCAAGAGCAAAAGAAAAUGUACAUAAUGCAUAAGCCGAUUUAUCCUCAUAUGCAGCUAACAAAUUGUUCAAACCUUCGAGACCAGUCUUGUCCAGAUACCACUUCACGUAUGGCCCUGGAAGACCCUUGAGGGC